AUACGGAGGAUGCAAGCGUUAUCCGGAUUCACUGGGUUUAAAGGGUGCGUAGGAGGGCAGGUAAGUCAGUGGUGAAAUCCCCGAGCUUAACUUGGGAACUGCCGUUGAUACUAUCUGUCUUGAAUACCGUGGAGGUGAGCGGAAUAUGUCAUGUAGCGGUGAAAUGCUUAGAUAUGACAUAGAACACCAAUUGCGAAGGCAGCUCGCUACACGAAUAUUGACUCUGAGGCACGAAAGCGUGGGGAUCAAACAGGA
rnacentral:rRNA from 1 species